UUGGGUUAGACAUCAUUGUUUUCCUCCUGAUUUUUAAACGAUUUCUUGAUAAGACGUAAGCAGCCAUUUUUCGAAGAAAAAUGGGCGGAUUACGAAUGUUUUUGAUGAUUGCUGGAGUGCAAAGCACGCAGCAAUCUGGUAUCAAA
rnacentral:sRNA from 1 species